CACGGGAGCAGCCUCUGGCGACUUCAUCUCCAGCAGGGAGUGGAGAGCAGGCGGAAGCCUCCGUCCCUCCUGAGUCCCUCACCCUUCCUCUGUCCCCAGCCCUGGGACCCCGCAGGAGAAUCUGGCUGGCAUCCAGUUAUGACAUAUCUCGAAUACCCAAGCGCGAUCCUCCACCCCCUGCCGCUGCCCGGGUACCGCUCCCGCCCCGCGCCCAGACAGACGGACAGACACACGGCUCAGCAUGUCCGACAGCCCCAGCCCGGGAGGGGCCCCCAAAGGGGGGGCCCCCGAUGAACCUGAGGGGCAGCCCCCCUGCGCCGAUCUCAAAACAGCUAUGGAGAAAUGCGUGAGUGAGAACGGGGAGGAGUCGUGCAAGGAGCUGAUGGAAUCGUACCACGAGUGUCUCCGUGCUCUGGGCAUCAAGGUCUAGCAGCCCCCCCCCACGGCGCUGGCGUGGCCAAUGAGCACAGUGUCACCCGGAGGAGCCCGGUUGCGAGGGCGAAGCGCCGCCGAGCAACGCCAGCGGCCGUGGAGGGGGCAGCCGCUCCGGAUUCAGGGGGGAUGGGGGACAGGGUAAUAAACUGGCAGCGUUUUACCUGG